AGAGAGAAGCCUAGGGCUUCAGACAACUUCCCUUCGUGUGUCUCCUCUCUCACGCCGAACGCUGAACGCUGAACGCCGAACGCCGCCACCCCUCUCAUGCCGAACGCCGACCUCAAUCUGCCGGUCGACGUUCAUCCUCCUCCAUCUUCACCGUCGGCCUACCGGUCUCGGCCUUGUGGCGAUCUCGUAGGUAGCGCUCGAUUACCUCUACUACGUCUCCCCGUCGUGGCACGCGCGGCUGCAGCCGACGUUGUGGGUGGUGCUGGCCCUCUCUGCCACGGUGCGCGCACCCUUCUACUCGCACUGGCCCUCUCAAGAUUUCUAGCGUUAGGGCAUUGGACACGGCUGAGCGAAAUGUGAGACAAGCUUCUCGUGCUCUAGAACAAGGGAAGGCUUUGAUUCUAAAAGGUGCAUCUGAAACAAAGAAAGAGCAUGGGAAGGAAUUGCUUGAAAAGCUGGCUGUUGGGAUGCAAGAGAUUGAAGGCAUUAUCCAGCAAAGAGAUAGGGAGGCAGUGGCCCCAAAGCAGAAGGAACUCUUACAAUAUGUUGGAGGCUGAGACUUCCUGCGACAUUGCAUUUCUACAGUAUUGAAGAGGAUAUGGUGGAUGGUUUUCCCUUCGAGAUUCCAAAGGAGUACAGUAAUUUGCCUCUUUUAAAAGGAAAAGCAACUGUGGAUAUUAAGGUUAAAGUUAAGGACAAUCCCAAUGUCCAGGAUUGCGUGUUCCGCAUAGUACUUGAUAGGUACAAUGCCCCAUUUACACUGCUAAGAAUUCAGUCUGUUCAAAUUUUUUUUAUCUUAAAUUUGUUAGUUCUUUUAUUUGUCUAGAAGUUAUGUAAGUAUAUUGAAUUGAUUUAUAUUUUGAAUCUUUUUUUUUGCUAUUUCAUAUUUCAUGUCUAUUAUCUAAUAUUUGAAUUUUCUUUGUUCAUAUAUUCUUUUCUUUUCCCACAGAAUGGAUUUGCAUCAUUGCUUGAGUUAGUUUUGGGUGACAAAACUUUGACUAAGUCUGUAUCUCAACAUUGUGAAUCUAUAAACACCUACAUAGAAUAGAUACUAGUUAUCCCAGUCAGACCUUGCCAUGUGGACUACAUAAACAAUCUUACAUGUCAUCUGCAAGGUAUUUACUUUCCCUAUAUUUGUGUUUAUGUUUAGUUGAUAGUUUUAUUUAGUUGUGAAAAUUUCACAUGUCGUUUGCUUAUUCCUGUUGCCUUUCAUUAAAUAUUAAGAUUUUGGAAAUUUCACAUGCAGUGUCUUUUCAGAUAUUUUGAAUGGUAAAUAGAGGUAUUCAGAAACUCUUGCUAAACAGCUCGGACAUGGAUGAUUAUAGGAGUAGCAACUACAUGCUAUGUGGCACUACAUCCGAACCUCAAGGGUGUGACUGGAAAUUAAGGACUUCGACGAAGAACUAUUAAGAAGACUUUGGACUUUAAACGAGAAGAUGAUUAAAGCCAACGAGUAAAGAAUAUUCAAGUCAAGAGGAUAAGUAGCAUCUAUCAAGAUUCUUUAAGUUCAUGCAAUAAGAUGUAGUCGACAGGAGUAGUUUUGAGUGUCUCCUAAUUAAAAUUUCUUUGUAUGCAAGCAAUUAUGUUUGUUAUAAAAGUGUAAGGAUGAUACUUUGUAUAUUGAUUUUAGUUAUUUAUUUAAUAAUA